CUCAAGGGAACUCAGCAGUGAUAAACAUUAAGCCAUAAGUGAAAACUUGACUUAGUCAAAGCUAAGAGGGCCGGUAAAACUCGUGCCAGCCACCGCGGUUAUACGAGAGGCCCAAGUUGAAAGAGCCCGGCGUAAAGAGUGGUUAAGCUAGAAUUUAUACUAAAGCCGAACAUCCUCACGGCUGUUAUACGCAUCCGAAGAUAAGAAGCUCAACCACGAAGGUAGCUUUAUAUGUCUGAGCCCACGAAAGCUACGGCACAAACUGGGAUUAGAUACCCCACUAUGCCUAGCCCUAAACAUUGAUAGUACCCCACACCCACUAUCCGCCUGGGAACUACGAGCAGCAGCUUAAAACCCAAAGGACUUGGCGGUGCUUUAAACCCACCUAGAGGAGCCUGUUCUAGAACCGAUACCCCCCGUUCAACCUCACCUUUCCUUGUUUCACCCGCCUAUAUACCGCCGUCGUCAGCUUACCCUGUGAAGGUCUAAUAGUAAGCAAAACUGGCCAAGCCCAGAACGUCAGGUCGAGGUGUAGCGCAUGGGAGGGGAAGAAAUGGGCUACAUUCGCUGCAGCAGCGAAUACGGACGAUGCACUGAAACGUUCAUCUGAAGGAGGAUUUAGCAGUAAGCAGAAAGUAGCGUGUUCCGCUGAAACUGGCCCUAAAGCGCGCACACACCGCCCGUCACUCUCCCCAAGCCCACCAACUUAAUUAACUAAAACCUAAUAAUCGCAA
rnacentral:rRNA from 1 species